rnacentral:rRNA from 1 species
AUGUCACAUUUUUGGUGGGGUGAUGACGACAACCAGAGAAGGAUGCAUUGGAUGGCGUGGUGGAAAAUGUGCAUCUCGAAAAGCCAAGGCGGAAUGGGCUUUCGUGAUAUUCAUUGUUUUAAUUUGGCGAUGUUGGCUAAAUAAGCUUGGCAUCUCCUUGAGAACCCAAAUUCCUUGUGUGCCACCAUUUUGCGAGUUAAGUAUUUCCCUGAUGGAGAUUUAUUGAACGCAAAGUUAAAAAAGGGAUCAUCCUUCACAUGCCAAAGUAUUAUGGCGGGGGUUAAUACCUUAAAACAUGGCUAUAUUUGGCGAGUUGGAAAUGGUCAGAAAAUUGACAUUUCGUAA